GCCGGAGUGGUGGAACUGGUAGACGCGUCGGACUCAAAAUCCGAUGUCCGCGAGGACGUGCGGGUUCGAUUCCCGCCUCCGGCACCA
rnacentral:tRNA from 1 species